UUGGAGAUCCUCGAAGGCCCGGACAGUGGCCGCGAGUGGGUGGGGCCCUAUUAGCCCCGCCCCCGGGCCUGCGGGUCGCUUGGCUCCCGCCAGCCCCAGAGGAUCGCGGAGACUAAGCUCUGUUAAAUUCCCAGCGAACGCUCGGACCCCGACAGGCUGCGCGCACGCGCACUCGGGGCUCCACGUCCAGGCGCUCGUCCCCCUGCGGCGGCCGCUAGGUGGCGCAUGCGCCCUGGAGGGCGCGGGCGGUCUCUGGGAAGAAGGCGGCGGCGGCGGCGAGAGGCGGGGGCGCCGUGGGGGCCGGUCCGUGUUUACACAGCGGCGGGCGGGUGCGGACGCGGAACCCGGCGCGGCGGCGGCACGAUGGUCAUGGCGCAUUUCGUGGAGAAUUUCUGGGUGAGCGGAGGGUGUUGGGGACGCCAUGGGCUUCGGCUUCUCCCCGCGGCCUGCGUGCGCGGCGGGCGGCGGCUCCUC
rnacentral:lncRNA from 1 species